UUGCUCGUUUAUCUCUGAUGAAUUUGCUAAGAAGAUAGAAUUACCUAGAGAAGAACUGAAUUUCCCUUUGAAUAUAGAAAUUGCAAAUAAGGAGGUAAUCCCUGUUAUAUUCAUAUACAAGAACUGUAGGGUGAAUAUUAAGGAGAAUAUCUUGAUGGUAGAUUUGAUUCCAAUUAGACUUGGAGAGCUUGAUGUUAUUUUGGG
rnacentral:lncRNA from 1 species